rnacentral:rRNA from 1 species
AUACGUAGGUCCCGAACGUUGCGCGAAAUUACUGGGCGUAAAGGGUCCGUAGGCGGUCUGGUAAGUGGAAGGUGAAAGCCUGGGGCUCAACUCCAGAAUUGCCUUCCAAACUGCCGGACUUGAGGCAGGGAGAGGUCGGCGGAAUUCCCGGUGUAGUGGUGAAAUGCGUAGAUAUCGGGAGGAACACCAGUGGCGAAGGCGGCCGACUGGAACUGUCCUGACGCUGAGGGACGAAAGCCAGGGGAGCGAACCGGAUUAGAAACCCUAGUAGUCCC